AUUGGGGUAAUCACGGGAGAAAAGCAAAGGCCAUGAUCAACUACCAAAACUCUAUGUUAUUGACUCCAAAAAGAUUCUAUAUGCCUCAUGGCUGGCCGAUCGAAGCAUGCCCUGCUCCUCGAGGGUUGUUUACUGGCCGAUACUGAUGUACAUAUAAGCAGACCCUGAGCACACUGGUCUCUGGGCCCAUUACUGCUCCCAAACUGCAGACAGGCUUGGCUUCAGCAAGGGCUUU
rnacentral:lncRNA from 1 species